GACGAACGCUGGCGGCGUGCUUAACACAUGCAAGUCGAACGGAAAGGCCCUGCUUUUGUGGGGUGCUCGAGUGGCGAACGGGUGAGUAACACGUGAGUAACCUGCCCUUGACUUUGGGAUAACUUCAGGAAACUGGGGCUAAUACCGGAUAGGAGCUCCUGCUGCAUGGUGGGGGUUGGAACGCUUCGGCGGUUGGGGAUGGACUCGCGGCUUAUCAGCUUGUUGGUGGGGUAGUGGCUUACCAAGGCUUUGACUGGUAGCCGGCCUGAGAGGGUGGACAGCCACAAUGGGACUGAGAGAGGGACCAGACUCCUACGGGGGGCAGCAGUGGGGAAUAUUGCACAAUGGGCGGAAGCCUGAGGCAGCAACGCCGCGUGCGGGAAGACGGCCUUCGGGUUGUAAACCGCUUUCGCCUGUGACGAAGCGUGAGUGACGGUAAUGGGUAAAGAAGCACCGGCUAACUACGUG
rnacentral:rRNA from 1 species